rnacentral:rRNA from 1 species
UGGCUCAGGAUGAACGCUAGCGGCAGGCUUAAUACAUGCAAGUCGAGGGGCAGCGCGGUAGCAAUACUGGCGGCGACCGGCGCACGGGUGCGUAACACGUAUGCAACCUACCUUCAACUGGAGGAUAGCCCGGGGAAACUCGGAUUAAUACUCCAUAACACAGGGAUCCCGCAUGGGAAUAUUGUUAAAGCUACGGCGGUUGAAGAUGGGCAUGCGUUCGAUUAGCUAGUUGGUGUAGGUAACGGCUCACCAAGGCUACGAUCGAUAGGGGGUCUGAGAGGAUGAUCCCCCACACUGGUACUGAGAUACGGACCAGACUCCUACGGGAGGCAGCAGUAGGGAAUAUUGGUCAAUGGGCGCAAGCCUGAACCAGCCAUGCCGCGUGCAGGAAGAAGGCCCUCUGGGUUGUAAACUGCUUUUGAUAGGGAACAAAUGCCACUUGCGAGUGGAGCUGAGUGUACCUAUAGAAUAAGCACCGGCUAACUCCGUG